AUGCAGUGCCAGGCUCAUGGACUAGUACAGCAUAUGUGGGGACUUUUUCUUCUUUAUGCUUUCCUGGCAAUGGGAGGCACUGUGGGACAAGACAUUCAGCAACCUACUGAAUUGACAGCUGUGGAUGGAGCCUUGUCCAAAUCAACUGCAAAUACCAGCCCUCUGGGUUCAACGGGCUGUCCUGGUACCAGCAAAGUGAUGGCACACCCAUAUUUCUCUCUUACAGUGCUCUGGAUGACUUGGAGAGGAGGGGUCGUUUUUCUUCAUUCCUUGGUCGCUCUAAUUCAUACAGUUCCCUCCUUCUGAGGGAGCUCCAGAUGAAAGCCUCUGCCUCUUACUUCUGGGCCACGAGAGACACAGUGUUAAUGAGGCCUCUUCAGCUGCAGCAAAAUUCAAAAGGCAAUCAUGGCAGUGAGAAAUUAUAUUUCCUCAGUUCACCCCUGCUGUGA